UACGUAGGGGCGAGCGUUGUCCGGAUUUAUUGGGCGUAAAGAGCUCGUAGGCGGUUUGGUAAGUCGGAUGUGAAAUCUCCAGGCUCAACCUGGAGGGGUCAUUCGAUACUGCCAUGACUAGAGUUCGGUAGGGGUGUGUGGAAUUCCUGGUGGAGCGGUGAAAUGCGCAGAUAUCAGGAGGAACACCCGUAGCGAAGGCGGCACACUGGGCCGAUACUGACGCUGAGGAGCGAAAGCGUGGGGAGCGAACAGG
rnacentral:rRNA from 1 species